rnacentral:rRNA from 1 species
AUGUCCGGAGCGGGAGGUAGGUGGAUGGCCUCCUCCGUCAUGGAGGGGCAAAUCAAAAAGCUGAGGAAAGCCGGAUACUUGUCCAACGACAUCGUGCACCGGCUCCCAGAUGAGGGGCAGCUCAUCCCCACCCCCAGGCCCCAUGAGAGGGUUGUGUUUCUCCCCCAUUUCCUCCGCGAACUGUGCUUUCCUCUUCACCCAUUUGUCCGGGGGCUCAUGUUCUACUACGACCUGGAUUUCCACGACCUGGCCCCGAACUUCAUCCUCAACAUCUCGGCGUUUAUCGUCGUGUGCGAGGUCUUCCUCCGCAUCCAGCCCCACUUCGGCUUAUGGCUGAAGACCUUCAAUGUCAAGCCGAAGGUUGUGGGCGGCCGAUAA